UACGUAGGGGGCGAGCGUUGUCCGGAAUUAUUGGGCGUAAAGGGUGUGUAGGCGGCUUUGCAAGUCAGAUGUGAAAUGCCACGGCUUAACCGUGGGACUGCAUUUGAAACUGCAGGGCUUGAGUUCGGAAGAGGAAAAUGGAAUUCCUAGUGUAGCGGUGAAAUGCGUAGAUAUUAGGAGGAACACCGGUGGCGAAGGCGGUUUCUGGGCCGACACUGACGCUGAGGCACGAAAGCGUGGGGAGCGAACAGG
rnacentral:rRNA from 1 species